rnacentral:rRNA from 1 species
GUCGAGUCGGCCUGCGCGGAAGAUGUAACGGGGCUAAGUAGUAAACCGAAGCUGCGGCAAUGUGCUUUUGCACAUUGGGUAGGGGAGCGUUCUGUAAGCGGUUGAAGGUGUGUGGUAACGCAUGCUGGACGUAUCAGAAGUGCGAAUGCUGACAUGAGUAACGAUAAAGGGGGUGAAAAACCUCCUCGCCGGAAGACCAAGGGUUCCUGUCCAACGUUAAUCGGGGCAGGGUAAGUCGACCCCUAAGGCGAGGCCGAAAGGCGUAGUCGAUGGGAAACGGGUUAAUAUUCCCGUACUUCUUACAAUUGCGAUGGGGGGACGGAGAAGGCUAGGUGGGCCUGGCGACGGUUGUCCAGGUUCAAGUGCGUAGGCUUAAGAGUUAGGUAAAUCCGGCUCUUUUUAAGGCUGAGACACGACGUCGAGCACCUACGGGUGUGAAGUCAUUGAUGCCAUGCUUCCAGGAAAAGCCUCUAAGCUUCAGAUUGUAAGGAAUCGUACCCCAAACCGACACAGGUGGUCGGGUAGAGAAUACCAAGGCGCUUGAGAGAACUCGGGUGAAGGAACUAGGCAAAAUGGUACCGUAACUUCGGGAGAAGGUACGCUCU